GACAGAGGGUGCAAACGUUGUUCGGAAUUACUGGGCGUAAAGCGCGUGUAGGCGGCCCUGCAAGUCGGGUGUGAAAUCCCACGGCUCAACCGUGGAAGUGCACUCGAAACUGCAGGGCUAGAGUCCUGGAGAGGAAGGUGGAAUGCUUGGUGUAGAGGUGAAAUUCGUAGAUAUCAAGCGGAACACCGGUGGCGAAGGCGGCCUUCUGGGACAGUGACUGACGCUGAGACGCGAAAGCGUGGGGAGCAAACAGG
rnacentral:rRNA from 1 species